rnacentral:rRNA from 1 species
CUACGGGCGGCAGCAGUGGGGAAUAUUGCACAAUGGGCGCAAGCCUGAUGCAGCCAUGCCGCGUGUAUGAAGAAGGCCUUCGGGUUGUAAAGUACUUUCAGCGGGGAGGAAGGGAGUAAAGUUAAUACCUUUGCUCAUUGACGUUACCCGCAGAAGAAGCACCGGCUAACUCCGUGCCAGCAGCCGCGGUAAUACGGAGGGUGCAAGCGUUAAUCGGAAUUACUGGGCGUACAGCGCACGCAGGCGGUUUGUUAAGUCAGAUGUGAAAUCCCCGGGCGCAACCUGGGAACUGCAUCUGAUACUGGCAAGCUUGAGUCUCGUAGAGGGGGGUAGAAUUCCAGGUGUAGCGGUGAGAUGCGUAGAGAUCUGGAGGAAUACCGGUGGCGAAGGCGGCCCCCUGGACGAAGACUGACGCUCAGGUGCGAAAGCGUGGGGAGCAAACAGGAUUAGAUACCCGGGUAGUC